rnacentral:rRNA from 1 species
UACGAAGGGGGCUAGCGUUGUUCGGAAUCACUGGGCGUAAAGCGUACGUAGGCGGACCGUUAAGUCGGGGGUGAAAUCCCAGGGCUCAACUCCAGAACUGCCUUUGAUACUGAGGAUCUUGAGUUCGGGAGAGGUGAGUGGAACUGCGAGUGUAGAGGUGAAAUUCGUAGAUAUUCGCAAGAACACCAGUGGCGAAGGCGGCUCACUGGCCCGAUACUGACGCUGAGGCACGAAAGCGUGGGGAGCAAACAGG